GUGCUCACUUCAGCAGUACAUAUAAUAAAAUUGGAACGACACAGAGAGGAUUAGCUUGGCUCCUGAGCAAGGAUGACACGCAAAUUUGUGAAAGGUUCCAUAUUUAA